UCUCAUCAGAGGCAUCAUGCUCUGAUCACAGGUGGAUUCGAUACGAUUUAAAAAUUACCAGUAACCCCGAACAACCUACAAGGUACCCGAGGAAGACUGACAAGAGGCUCUAUAGAUCUCUAGUAGAACUAGAGCUGGGAAAACAGCCGCCUACCACUAGGUUAGACAGCAUAGAAACAAUUGAUCAACAGAAAACUGCUGGCAAACCGCCUAUGAGAUCGUCACCUACAACAAGGUGAAAUGGGCGGUGAACAGCUUCCAGCCUUUCAAGUCAGCGGGCACAGAUGGCGUCUUUCCUGCACUGCUACAGUGGGGAGGAGAUAAGUUGAUGUGUCACGGACAGCCCUCUAUCCAGAGGUUGCCUGGGGGCAGAGGAAACAGCCGCUCACGUUCUGCUGGAAUGCAGUGAGGUGGCAAACUACAGGGCGAAGCACCUGGGGUCACCAGGCGCUCUUCCGGAAGUCUUCCGCGACGUUAAGAGGUUGGGUGACUUCUUGGAGGAGCUUGGCUGGUUGGAGUAGCCUCUACCACCCUCGCACGCAAAAUAGGCGCAUAUGGACGUCGAGUUGCGGAAAGCGCCCGUAUGAAGAAGA